rnacentral:rRNA from 1 species
CAGUCGCCGCGGGAAUACGUAGGUGGCAAGCGUUGUCCGGAAUUAUUGGGCGUAGAGGGCUCGCAGGCGGUUUCUUAAGUCUGAUGUGAAAGCCCCCGGCUCAACCGGGGAGGGUCAUUGGAAACUGGGAAACUUGAGUGCAGAAGAGGAGAGUGGAAUUCCACGUGUAGCGGUGAAAUGCGUAGAGAUGUGGAGGAACACCAGUGGCGAAGGCGACUCUCUGGUCUGUAACUGACGCUGAGGAGCGAAAGCGUGGGGAGCGAACAGGAUUAGAGACCCCGGUAGUCCCUGUCUCUUAUAC